AUUGAACGCUGGCGGCAUGCCUUACACAUGCAAGUCGAACGGUAACGCGGGGCAACCUGGCGACGAGUGGCGAACGGGUGAGUAAUGCAUCGGAACGUGCCUGGUAGUGGGGGAUAACUGCUCGAAAGAGCAGCUAAUACCGCAUACGACCUGAGGGUGAAAGGGGGGGAUCGCAAGACCUCUCGCUAUCGGAGCGGCCGAUGUCGGAUUAGCUAGUUGGUGGGGUAAAGGCCCACCAAGGCAACGAUCCGUAGCUGGUCUGAGAGGACGACCAGCCACACUGGGACUGAGACACGGCCCAGACUCCUACGGGAGGCAGCAGUGGGGAAUUUUGGACAAUGGACGCAAGUCUGAUUCAGCAAUGCCGCGUGCGGGAAGAAGGCCUUCGGGUUGUAAACCGCUUUUGUCAGGGAAGAAAUCUUCUGGGUUAAUACCUCGGGAGGAUGACGGUACCUGAAGAAUAAGCACCGGCUAACUACGUGCCAGCCGCCGCAGUAA
rnacentral:rRNA from 1 species